GGUCCUACGGGGGGCAGCAGUGAGGAAUAUUGGUCAAUGGGCGGGAGCCUGAACCAGCCAAGUCGCGUGAGGGAAGACGGUCCUAUGGAUUGUAAACCUCUUUAGGCGGGGAGCAAUGCCGGGCACGCGUGCCCGGAGGGAGAGUACCCGCAGAAUAAGCAUCGGCUAACUCCGUGCCAGCAGCCGCGGGAAUACGGAGGAUGCGAGCGUUAUCCGGAUUGAUUGGGUUUAAAGGGAGCGUAGGCGGA
rnacentral:rRNA from 1 species